UACGUAGGGUGCAAGCGUUGUCCGGAAUCAUUGGGCGUAAAGAGCUCGUAGGCGGUCUGUCGCGUCGGCUGUGAAAUCCCGGAGCUCAACUCCGGGUCUGCAGUCGAUACGGGCAAACUGGAGUACUGCAGGGGAGACUGGAAUUCCUGGUGUAGCGGUGAAAUGCGCAGAUAUCAGGAGGAACACCGGUGGCGAAGGCGGGUCUCUGGGCAGUAACUGACGCUGAGGAGCGAAAGCGUGGGGAGCGAACAGG
rnacentral:rRNA from 1 species